UACGUAGGUGGCAAGCGUUGUCCGGAUUUACUGGGUGUAAAGGGCGUGCAGCCGGAGAGACAAGUCAGAUGUGAAAUCCGCGGGCUCAACCCGUGAACUGCAUUUGAAACUGUUUCCCUUGAGUGUCGGAGAGGUAAUCGGAAUUCCUUGUGUAGCGGUGAAAUGCGUAGAUAUAAGGAAGAACACCAGUGGCGAAGGCGGAUUACUGGACGAUAACUGACGGUGAGGCGCGAAAGCGUGGGGAGCAAACAGG
rnacentral:rRNA from 1 species